rnacentral:rRNA from 1 species
GACGAACGCUGGCGGCGUGCUUAACACAUGCAAGUCGAACGGAAAGGCCCUGCGUGUUUGGGGUGCUCGGGUGGGGAACGGGUGAGGAAGACGAGAAUAACCUAACCUUGACUUUCGUAUGGCUUAAGGAAGCUAAUGCUAAUUCAGGAUAGGAGCUCCCCCUGGAUUGUGGGGAGGGGAUAGUUGCGGCGGGUGGGGAUGGACUCGCGGAUUAUGAGCUUGUUGGUGGGGGAGUGGAAUACCAAGGCUGGGACCGGUAGCCGGCAGGUGAGGGUGAACGGCCACAAUGGGACUGCGAUACGGCCCAGACUCCUACGGGAGGCAGCGGUGGGGAAUAUUGCACAAUGGGCCGAAGCCUGAUGCAGCGACGCCGCGUGUGGGAUGACGGCCUGCGGGUUGUAAACCGCUUUCGCUUGUGACGAAGCGUGAGUGACGGUAACGAGUGAAGAAGCACCGGCUAACUACGUG